AGAUAUAAAACUAGGCUUGUUGUUAAGGGAUUUACUAAGAAAGAGUUUGGAUGACCUUUUGUGUUUCUGUUGUGUCUGAGUUUUGCUCUGUCUGUUGGAGCUUUGCUCUGAGUUUAUUUUGCGUCUUUCCCUUGUCGUUCGUCAUGAGCUGUGCUCUGUGUGUAUGCUUGCUCUGUGUUCUGUGUGUUGUCUCUGGCUCUGACUGUAGUCUGAGUUCUGUGUCGCGAGCUCCGCUCUGCUCUGUUGAGCUCUGGUCUGCUCUGGUUUGUUGUCGUUAGCUCUGUCCUGGUCGGCCUUCCUGCCCUACUAUGUGUUUCUGUUCUGCUUUGCUUUGAGUCUGUUCUCUGCUUUGUCGUCGCAUAUGUGUGCUCUGCUCUGUUCUGUCGACCGUCUUCUCUGCUUUGUUCUUGCUAUGUGUGAGUGUUUUGUUGUGUCUGUGAGUCUUCAAUGAUAACCUUAUGGUUUGAGAAUGUGGUGAUUUCCCCUUGGGUUGGUCUCUAGUGUAGAGAUUGAGUUAAAUAUGCAUAAUAUUUUUCUCACCCUCUAUUAUCUUGUCUCUGUGACAGGAUGAUAGUAAAAAUGGCUGUGAUGAUAAAGCUCGAUUCAAAGGCUGGCUCUUUCCUGGUGACUUAAUGAUCAUUGUGCCAAAGGUGGAAUGUGGAGUGUUGGCCCAAUAUCAUUAAUUCCC
rnacentral:lncRNA from 1 species